rnacentral:lncRNA from 1 species
AAGCUUGAUGCGUGCCCAAUUGGUGUGUUUUGCUUAGGAAGAAAUCAUCAGACAGGGAUGGAUGACACCACAUUCACAUUCAACAAUUCCUCUAGCAUGUGCAGGCGAGCAUAGCUACCCAAAAGGUUUAGUAAAUCAGUCCCAGAGCUGCAUGUGAGGAUGUGUGACCUGCUUGGUUUAUCAGGUAAAUCAGUCCCAGAGCUGCAUGUGAGGAUGUGUGACCUGCUUGGUUUACUAGGAAAAUCAAUCCUAGAGAUUAGGCAAGUCAGUCCCAGAACUGACUGUGAGGAUGUGUGACCCCAUGGUAUGACACUUUUGGUUUACCAGGCAAAUGUGUCUCAGAACUGACUGCGAGGAUGUGUGACACACUAUGGUUUACCAGGCAAAUCAAUCCUAGAGAUCAAUGUGAGGGUGUGUGACUAAUGUUCUAUCAUGACCUGCACAUUUUCAGUCUUCCAUACUGUUCCUCAGUAAUGCUGGAGUAGGAGUUGAACAGAGCCACAUGGAUGCAGGCUACCUAAGCCGAAACAAGAAAGCUGUUCAAAUUGUGCUGUUACAGCAUUCUGGAAUUUCUGUUGUAGAAUGGUUUAGUACCUUCACACUGUUGAUGGAUUGUUAAACAGUAAUAACACUUUUACAGUCUUACAAAAUUAUGAAACCCUUUGCACAUAACAUUUGUGUAGUGUAUUGUCAUAAUUAACAAUGUUGUGUAUCUGAAAUGACUUUAAAAUGCUGUGAUUGUUAAAUUAUGGUAUUUAAGCUGUUUGUAUUUUUACAGAAAAUUAUGUUACAGUUAAGUUGCAAAAAACAAGCCAUAUAAGGACUGGUCGAAUUUCAGACAGUACCCUCUUAUCAGACUCCUGAUGUCUGUUGUCUGUUUGUGGUUGCUGAGCACUAAAAGCAAGUGCUCUAUGUAGGCAACUACUUUCAAGAUGUUUAUUAGCUGUAUUUAACUAAGUAAGUAAGUAAAGUCUUUAUUUAAUAAGGCUACACAUUUGGUUUCCGAAUCUUCCAUGUGGGCCUCAGAUCACUGGGCAUCUAUCUUAGAAAUCCUUCCCUGACUGUUUUGUGUGUUAUCCUACUCAUUACUAUGUGUGCUAUUACACUUAUUAUACACACUAAACUAUGAUAAAUACAACUAUUUAAAGGUGUUUCCAGUUGUAGGGGUGGUAUUGAUUAUCACUUUUGACAGCUAAAUGCCUGUUAAAGUCCUCCUAGAUUUGUUUUUUCAACUUUUUUCUAUGACAGACUUAUUGCUUUUUAAAACAGUACAUAAAAAGUCUUACAAAAUUAUGAAUACAUUGUGAAAGUUGUGUUUUAGACUGUUGAAUAGAAUGGUAGAGACAUUAUAUCAUGCUGUAUCAUCAUUCAGUAGCAGUUAUCUCCACUUAUCUUCCAAUUUUCUCGAAUUUAAUUACUGCGAUCUUCCACAGGUCAUGUCAGGUUGCCAUUCAUUGUUGUAUGUGUCAGAAGAAAACAUAGCUACUUGAAACAAAGCUAUUGUAGAUAUGUGAAGCAUCUGCACAGGAGGUAUUCUCUCUAUUUUCUGCAGAACUCAAUGAUAUUAAAGGCUUUCUGUCAUAACUAAUCAUCACUAAGUUAUUGGCUACAAAAUCUGAAGGAAUUAUAAAUUCAAUGGUUUGUUUUAAGCAAAUGCAAGCAAAUAUGCUGUAAAGGUUAUAUAUGAUCAAAAUAUAAGGAACAGUUUAAACUCCCCAGUGGGGAUUAUUUUGUCAUUAACCAUUCCAGGUGGUGUCCCACUGUGUUCCUUUAUUUGUUUUUUGUUGUUGUUUGUUUCCUUUGUUUUACUAUGUAUUUUAAUUUUUGGAUAAAUGUUGAUCAUUUUCCUAUCCGUACACUACUAGACCUCUGUCGUUACACUUUUUUGCUUCUUGUUGAUUUAGACUUAAUAUAAUAAGUUAUUUUUAUGUUUGAUAAAAGUAGUCCAGAGUUUCUGAAUUUCAUUUUGGAAUCUCUUUUGUGCGAAUAGUUUGCAGAAUUACUAAUUCCAUAAUGAUAAUAGGAUUGUACAUAUUUAUUGAGGACCUCAAGAGCAUCUAUUCCAUUUUUUUGUGUGAAAAUUUUGGGUCCGUUUUCUGCCUUAAGAUAAUUUUUGUUCUGAAAACAUGUUCUUGGAUUCCCUGAAUGAAGACAAAUAGAUUGAUAAAGUCAUAUGAUGGAUAUUUACCUCGCCCCAAAAAUAUGUAAUGUUUAUUGAUUCAUAAUGUGUUAUAGCAGUUACUUUUGGAGUAUCUGUCAACAGCACUAUUACUUCUGUAAGAUUUGGGUGUAUGUACAAAUUGAAUUUAAUGUAAUAAGUAAUGGCUGAAGCUUUCUAGGAACACAACUGAAACUGUCUGAAACUGCAGGAGUAAUUGUCUCGUUGACAGACGAAGAUUUACUUUACAUGUACUGACUCCCUGAAUAAAUAAAGUAGUAUCGUUUUUAAUGAUAGCAAUGAUCACUGCAGUAUGGCAACACACUUAUAUGUUAGAAUUUUUUUGUGCCAGUAGUUUACACCUGUGCUGUAUAUUCAAUUUAGGGGACAGUUUCCUUUUUAGUAGUUGUUUUCUUUAGUUUUCGUUACUUUGAAAAAUGU